rnacentral:rRNA from 1 species
GUUAAAGUGAGUUUUAUCUAGUGGCGGACGGGUGAGUAACGCGUAAGAACCUACCCUUAGGAGGGGGACAACAAUUGGAAACGAUUGCUAAUACCCCAUAUGCUGAGGAGUAAAACGGUAACAACCGCCUAGGGAUGGGCUUGCGUCUGAUUAGCUUGUUGGUGGGGUAAAUGCUUACCAAGGCAACGAUCAGUAGUUGGUCUGAGAGGAUGACCAGCCACACUGGGACUGAGACACGGCCCAG